rnacentral:ncRNA from 1 species
AGAAAAACGAUGAAGAGAAGAGUAGCUUGUCAGCUUUAAUCAGUAGAGACCCCGGUUAGGUGAAAAAGGGGAUUGAAGACGCAAGUGAAGAUGAACUCUGAGUAUUCAAAAGGUUAACGCUUUUUGAACGGUCGCAACCGAUAUAUUGCCGAGCUUCAAUAGGAGCUAGCGAGGUAUUAGUCAUGAGGCUGAUACGAAUUAGGGUGGUAACACGGAACUUAAUCCGUCCCUUUG